UGGGACACCUCAGCCCUCUUCAUCUUCAAAGCCCUCUAACAAUAAUAACUGUGGUAUUUGUUCAUAUUUGGGGUGGAUAUAAGGAAAUUGGGUUGGACCCGCUCCAACCUUGAAGGCAGGGAUCAUGACUACUAAUUCUAUUGCGAUGACCUCUAUUGUGAUGACCUCUCUUUAGUGUUUAGGAUAGUGCUCUGCACCCAGAAACUGCUCAAUCCCACCGACCGGAUAUCACGGCCACUGGGUGCUGCAGUUCACCUGGAGACCAGCCACUGUUUAAAAUAUCAUCACAAGAAGCUUUUGCGGCAAAGAUAUGAAAAAUGUAUUGUACGAUCGAAAAGAAGAUAUUGUCUUCCAGCAGAUUAUGCAUUCCACCCACGGUAAAGGUUUAAUCUGAUGGCUUCAGAGAGGAAAUAGGAAUUUUGGAAGGUCAAGCAAUUAUGAGCAGCAUUCCAAUGGAAGAAACAUGUGAGAGACAGUCAUGGGGUUAAAACAGCUAACCAAAGGUAUUUACUGAGCAGUUACUGGGUGCAGAACACUGUACUAAGUGCUUGGGAGAGCACAACAUAACAGAGUUGGUAGAGAUAUUCUCUUCCUACCAGGAGCUUACAGUCUAGAGAAUAGUGCUCAGUGAGAAACAUUACAAGGAACCCAAGGGAAAUAUAUGACUAUAGUCACUUUAUGUGUUAGCAGAGGAAAGGGCAAAGGUUUUAAAAAAGCACACUCAAAAUCUGUGAAAUUUUAGGACUCUCCCUAGUCUCCAAGGAGAAGCUUAAUUAAGAAAGGUUGCAGAAGGUGACAGCAGGCAGUCUCCUCUGAAAUGGAAACAUUUGGAAACAAGCCAAGAUUCAGUACCUAAAGCCAGUUUUAACCUUCAGGAGGUCAAAUAUUGUAUAAUAGAAAAUUUUCCAUUAUGAAGAGGUUGUUUUUUAAAUUCAGGUCAAAUAAGACAUUUAACUAGCAAAUGCCAAUAUUCCUUUUUAUAAUUUGUGUUUUGCCCUCCAGAAAUUUAAAUGUGUCCUGAUUAGAUAUACUACUGCUUAUACAUUGUAGAUGGAUUGUUCUAUAUCGUUCCAUUUAUCACACACAAAUGGACCUUUAACACAAUUUAUUUUAGGUCAUUUUUCAUAUAUGGAAUCACUCAUUUUCUUUCGGAGUACAAAUA
rnacentral:lncRNA from 1 species